rnacentral:lncRNA from 1 species
UUCAGGUGUGGUCCUAUCUCCAGCUAUUCCUAGGUAGCCACAUAACUCUUUAUGAUGUGGCCAAAAAUUCCUCCUGCCACCACAGCCCUAGAAAAAUGGGUCAAAGACAUCUUCUAUGGAACUCUCCAAGCGGGGGCUUAGUUCACACCAUCUACUCCUGUGUCAUCGACCUGCAAACACUGGCGCUGUUUUGACAACAAGGUCAUGUUCCCUGCAGUGAGCUCACCCUUGACUCGGAGUCAGUCAUCAGUCCUCUCCUGCUUGUUCCUCCUUGGGGGAAUGAUUAGCUAUGGAAGUCACAAAGGCUGUCUGGUAUUUGUCUCUGGAAAUGUGUCCAUAGUGUCUCUGAGGUCUGCAGGGGUAUCUAAUCCGCACAAGACACUUACAAAUGGCUGAGGACGAUGUUGGCCUAAAUACCUGUCAUCUAAGAUGGCAUACUCUCUCUUUCUGUGUGUGUAUGUGUGUGUUCACUGGUGGAUGUGCAUGUGUGUGUAUGGCAUGUGUGUGUAUGCCAUGGGUCAG